rnacentral:rRNA from 1 species
GACGAACGCUGGCGGCGUGCCUAAUACAUGCAAGUCGAACGAACCGCGACUAAGUGCUUGCACUAAGUCAAGGUGAGUGGCGAACGGGUGAGUAACACGUGGGUAACCUACCUCAUAGUGGGGGAUAACAGUCGGAAACGACUGCUAAUACCGCAUAGGACAUAGGAUCACAUGAUCCAGUGAGGAAAGGUGGCGCAAGCUAUCGCUAAGAGAUGGACCCGCGGUGCAUUAGCUAGUUGGUAGGGUAAAGGCCUACCAAGGCGAUGAUGCAUAGCCGACCUGAGAGGGUGAUAGGCCACAUUGGGACUGAGACACGGCCCAAACUCCUACGGGAGGCAGCAGUAGGGAAUCUUCCGCAAUGGACGCAAGUCUGACGGAGCAACGCCGCGUGAGUGAAGAAGGUCUUCGGAUCGUAAAGCUCUGUUGUUAGAGAAGAACAGCGCAUAGAGUAACUGCUAUGCGUGUGACGGUAUCUAACCAGAAAGCCACGGCUAACUACGUG